UACGUAGGGUCCGAGCGUUGUCCGGAAUUACUGGGCGUAAAGAGCUCGUAGGUGGUUUGUCGCGUUGUUCGUGAAAACUCACAGCUUAACUGUGGGCGUGCGGGCGAUACGGGCAGACUUGAGUACUGCAGGGGAGACUGGAAUUCCUGGUGUAGCGGUGAAAUGCGCAGAUAUCAGGAGGAACACCGGUGGCGAAGGCGGCUUCUUGGGCCGUACCUGACGCUGAGGCGCGAAAGCCAGGGGAGCGAACGGG
rnacentral:rRNA from 1 species